rnacentral:rRNA from 1 species
AUGCCGAUGAGGAGCGCGCCGCCUGCGCGUACGAGCAACGCAUGGUGGCUAGCGACGAUGCUCUUGUUGGUGGCGAUGGCAUGGUGCUACUCCCUGUUGCGUGAUUCAUCGUCGGUGCAUCCUCCAAUAAGCUCGGUUGCUGCCAUGAUUUGGAGAAGGAUUCGUCCCCUUCCUCUGUUGCUUCAAGCUUCUAUGGAGGUGGAUGGAGCGAUGGUGAUGCUAGAGGAUCUGGUUUUUGCAGGUGGGUUCUGA